CAAGGUUUCCGUAGGUGAACCUGCGGAAGGAUCAUUGUCGAGAUCGAAAUACCGAGCGACUCAGAAAACCUGUGAAUGAGCGGUGGCACAUGNCCAUCGCGUAGCAUUCGUCCCUGACGUUGGCCGCGUCACCCGUCGAGGCCACGAUGAGGGGCGGGUGAAACUCAAACCGGCGCAGCUACGCGCCRAGGGAAUAAGAAAGAAACACGAGCCCAKAUCGGGCUUGGUGGCGUGGAGUGCUAUUGCGCACCACACGGAUCAWAAMGACUCUCGGCACAUGGAUAUCUCGGCUCUCGCAUACGAUGAAGAGCGCAGCGAAAUGCGAUACGUGGUGCGAAUUGCAGAAUCCCGCGAACCAUCGAGAAUUUGAACGCAAGUUGCGCCCGAGGCCASCGUGGCUAAGGGCACGUCCGCCUGGGCGUCAAGCGUUGCAUCGCUCCGUGCCAUCCCCAUCCCCACCCGGUGGGUGCGGAUGUGGGAGGGUCGGAUGUGGAGAGUGGCUCGUCGUGCCYGUCGGUGCGGCGGGCUGAAGAGCGGGUGAUCUUCUCGUCGGCAACGAGCAGCGAGGGGUGGAUGAAAGUUGUGCCUGUGCUGUAUCGUGUCGACCCGAGAAGAGAUUACACCCUGAAGAUGAUCCCAACCCAAGCGUUGAUCCACAKGCGACGGCUUGCAAUGCGACCCCAGGAUGGGCGAGGCCACCCGCUGAAUU
rnacentral:rRNA from 1 species